rnacentral:tRNA from 2 species
GGCGCGUUGGCAGAGUGGUUAUGCAGCGGAUUGCAAAUCCGUUAACUUCGGUUCGAUUCCGGAACGCGCCU